rnacentral:rRNA from 1 species
CCUACGGGAGGCAGCAGUGAGGAAUAUUGGUCAAUGGGCGGAAGCCUGAACCAGCCAAGUAGCGUGCGGGAUGAAGGCCCUACGGGUCGUAAACCGCUUUUGCACGGGGAUAACACCCUCCACUUGUGGAGGUCUGCAUGUACCGUGCGAAUAAGGGCCGGCUAAUUCCGUGCCAGCAGCCGCGGUAAUACGGAAGGCCCGAGCGUUAUCCGGAUUCAUUUGGCUGAAAGGGAGCGUAGGCGGGCGUUAAAGUCAGCUGUAAAAUCUCGCGGCUCAACCGCGCCCCGCAGUUGAAACUGGACGACUUGAGUUCACAACAGGCAGGCGGAAUGCGAGGUGUAGCGGUGAAAUGCAUAGAUAUCACGAGGAACCCCGAUGGCGAAGGCAGCCUGCCGGGGUGCGACUGACGCUGAGGCUCGAAAGCGCGGGUAUCGAACAGGAUUAGAUACCCGGGUAGUC